rnacentral:lncRNA from 1 species
CAGCCUGUGCAGUGCGGGGGCUGCUGGCAGGCAGAGUGCCGCCCCAGGGGCCCUGGGAGCUGCAGGGCAUAUUGCUGCUGAGCCAGAAUGAGCUGUACCGCCAGAUCCUGCUGCUGAUGCACCUGCUGCCGCAAGACCUGCUGCUGCUGCCCUGCCAGUCUUCCUACUGCUACUGUCAGGAGGUGCUGGACAGGCUCAUCCAAUGCGGGCUCCUGGUUGCUGAGUCCGGCCAGCCUGUGACACAGGGCAACGGCGACUGAGCAGAAAGCUGCUGUGGAAACCGAGUGGGGAUUUUACUGAUAGUGACAGUGAUGACUUCAAAGAGACCGAGGGCCAGUACUCCAGGGUGUGUUUCAAAAAGCUGCCCCUGGAGGGAGGUGGUAGGGAGGUGGUGGGGAGCUGCACUCACCCCGGCCUGUCCCCUCCAGCUCAGCCAGCAGUCACACUGCCCAGAUUUCUUUCUUUUCCUCUGCCGCCUGCUCAGCCCGCUGCUCAAGGCCUUUGCACAGGCUGCCGCCUUCCUCCGCCAGGGCCAGCUGCCCGAUACUGGUGAGGCCCUUGUUCCCUUGCAGUCCUCGAGGCAGGCUGUGUCUGUGCUGGGUGCCAGGUCUAGGUCUUCUCUCUUCUGCAGAGUCGGGCUACACAGACCAGCUGUUCCAGUUCCUGCAGGCCACCGCCCAGGAAGAAGGGAUCUUCCAGAGUGUGCGGACCCAAAGCUUGCCAUCAGUGCUAUCUGGACCUUCAGAGACCUAGGAGGUUCUGCAGCAGACGCCGAGCCCUGCAGGCCCCAGGCUCCACCUAUCCCCUACUUUUGCCAGCCAGGACAAUCAGGAAAAACUAGAACAGUUCAUCCGGCAGUUCAU